UCAUAUUGUCAGGCUGCGCAGAGUGUGCAGAACGGCCAGAAAAAGCAGAGUAACGGCUAGUUUCCGUGGGGGUUGGCUUAAAUAGCCACAGAGGACUGUAGCAAGGAGAUAACAGAUAUUCCACUCCAAGCAUUCAAGUUUUCAAGCUCUCCAAGUGCUCUUAAACGAAAAAGGGGAGAUCUGCAUUUACUGCUCCAACAACUUCUUCCCAACAAUCAAAGCUUCCUCCUCUUGCAUUCAAGUCGACCACUCUUUCAAGAGGAGACCGGAGUUCCAGAAGCCAUACCUCUUCACCAGCUUAAAAGCGUUUGAGGGCUUCUAACUCCUUUACGAUUAUAUUGUCUUAAAUCUGCUUUUUGAGAAGCUAUUUUCUGUUUUCUUCUAUCUCUUGUAUUUACUUGAUUCAAUCGGGG
rnacentral:lncRNA from 1 species